UUGACCCGUAAUCCGGGUUGCGGACAGUGUCUGGUGGGUAGUUUGACUGGGGCGGUCUCCUCCUAAAGAGUAACGGAGGAGCACGAAGGUUGGCUAAUCCUGGUCGGACAUCAGGAGGUUAGUGCAAUGGCAUAAGCCAGCUUGACUGCGAGCGUGACGGCGCGAGCAGGUGCGAAAGCAGGUCAUAGUGAUCCGGUGGUUCUGAAUGGAAGGGCCAUCGCUCAACGGAUAAAAGGUACUCCGGGGAUAACAGGCUGAUACCGCCCAAGAGUUCAUAUCGACGGCGGUGUUUGGCACCUCGAUGUCGGCUCAUCACAUCCUGGGGCUGAAGUAGGUCCCAAGGGUAUGGCUGUUCGCCAUUUAAAGUGGUACGCGAGCUGGGUUUAGAACGUCGUGAGACAGUUCGGUCCCUAUCUGCCGUGGGCGCUGGAGAACUGAGGGGGGCUGCUCCUAGUACGAGAGGACCGGAGUGGACGCAUCACUGGUGUUCGGGUUGUCAUGCCAAUGGCACUGCCCGGUAGCUAAAUGCGGAAGAGAUAAGUGCUGAAAGCAUCUAAGCACGAAACUUGCCCCGAGAUGAGUUCUCCCUGACUCCUUGAGAGUCCUGAAGGAACGUUGAAGACGACGACGUUGAUAGGCCGGGUGUGUAAGCGCAGCGAUGCGUUGAGCUAACCGGUACUAAUGAACCGUGAGGCUUAACCUUACAACGCCGAAGCUGUU
rnacentral:rRNA from 1 species